UACGUAGGUGGCAAGCGUUGUCCGGAAUUAUUGGGCGUAAAGCGCGCGCAGGCGGUCCUUUAAGUCUGAUGUGAAAGCCCACGGCUCAACCGUGGAGGGUCAUUGGAAACUGGGGGACUUGAGUACAGAAGAGAAGAGUGGAAUUCCACGUGUAGCGGUGAAAUGCGUAGAGAUGUGGAGGAACACCAGUGGCGAAGGCGACUCUUCGGUCUGUAACUGACGCUGAGGCGCGAAAGCGUGGGGAGCAAACAGG
rnacentral:rRNA from 1 species